rnacentral:piRNA from 1 species
GACUUCUCUCGGUUCUUGUCCGCUCCUC